CAGUCGCCACGGUAAUACGAAGGGGGCUAGCGUUGUUCGGAUUUACUGGGCGUAAAGCGCACGUAGGCGGACUUUUAAGUCAGGGGUGAAAUCCCGGGGCUCAACCCCGGAACUGCCUUUGAUACUGGAAGUCUUGAGUAUGGUAGAGGUGAGUGGAAUUCCGAGUGUAGAGGUGAAAUUCGUAGAUAUUCGGAGGAACACCAGUGGCGAAGGCGGCUCACUGGACCAUUACUGACGCUGAGGUGCGAAAGCGUGGGGAGCAAACAGGAUUAGAUACCCGGGUAGUCCCUGUCUCUUAUAC
rnacentral:rRNA from 1 species